rnacentral:rRNA from 1 species
AACGAGCGCUGGCGGCAGGCUCAACACAUGCAAGUCGAGUGCCCCGCAAGGGGAGCGGCGGACGGGUGAGUAACGCGUGGGAAUCUACCCAUCUCUACGGAAUAACGCAUGGAAACGUGUGCUAAUACCGUAUACGUCCUUUGGGAGAAAGAUUUAUCGGAGAUGGAUGAGCCCGCGUUGGAUUAGCUAGUUGGUGGGGUAAAGGCCUACCAAGGCGACGAUCCAUAGCUGGUCUGAGAGGAUGAUCAGCCACACUGGGACUGAGACACGGCCCAGACUCCUACGGGAGGCAGCAGUGGGGAAUAUUGGACAAUGGGCGCAAGCCUGAUCCAGCCAUGCCGCGUGAGUGAUGAAGGCCCUAGGGUUGUAAAGCUCUUUCACCGGUGAAGAUAAUGACGGUAACCGGAGAAGAAGCCCCGGCUAACUUCGUGCCAGCCGCCGCCGUAACAC